rnacentral:rRNA from 1 species
GAUGAACGCUGGCGGCGUGCUUAACACAUGCAAGUCGAACGGAAAGGCUCCUGCUUGCAGGGGUACUCGAGUGGCGAACGGGUGAGUAACACGUGGGUGAUCUGCCCUGCACUUCGGGAUAAGCCUGGGAAACUGGGUCUAAUACCGGAUAGGACGAUGGUUUGGAUGCCAUUGUGGAAAGUUUUUCGGUGUGGGAUGAGCUCGCGGCCUAUCAGCUUGUUUGUGGGGUAAUGGCCUACCAAGGCGUCGACGGGUAGCCGGCCUGAGAGGGUGUACGGCCACAUUGGGACUGAGAUACGGCCCAGACUCCUACGGGAGGCAGCAGUGGGGAAUAUUGCACAAUGGGCGCAAGCCUGAUGCAGCGACGCCGCGUGGGGGAUGACGGCCUUCGGGUUGUAAACUCCUUUCGCUAGGGACGAAGCGCAAGUGACGGUACCUGGAGAAGAAGCACCGGCUAACUACAUG